rnacentral:rRNA from 1 species
GGAAUAUUUGACAAUGGGCGAAAGCCUGAUCCAGCAAUGCCGCGUGAGUGAUGAAGGCCUUAGGGUUGUAAAGCUCUUUUACCCGGGAUGAUAAUGACAGUACCGGGAGAAUAAGCUCCGGCUAACUCCGUGCCAGCAGCCGCGGUAAUAAGGAGGGAGCUAGCGUUGUUCGGAAUUACUGGGCGUAAAGCGCACGUAGGCGGCCAUUCAAGUCAGAGGUGAAAGCCCAGGGCUCAACCCUGGAACUGCCUUUGAAACUAGAUGGCUAGAAUCCUGGAGAGGCGAGUGGAAUUCCGAGUGUAGAGGUGAAAUUCGUAGAUAUUCGGAAGAACACCAGUGGCGAAGGCGACUCGCUGGACAGGUAUUGACGCUGAGGUGCGAAAGCGUGGGGAGCAA